CUUGCUUUUGAUGGGCGUCGACCGGCGCACGGGUGCGUAACGCGUAUGCAACCUACCUUGAAGAGGGGGACAACAGUUGGAAACGACUGCUAAUACCGCAUGAAGCAUAGGGGUCGCAUGAUCUUUAUGCCAAAGAUUUAUCGCUUCAAGAUGGCCUCGCGUCUGAUUAGCUAGUUGGCGGGGUAACGGCCCACCAAGGCGACGAUCAGUAGCCGGACUGAGAGGUUGAACGGCCACAUUGGGACUGAGAUACGGCCCAGACUCC
rnacentral:rRNA from 1 species